UUGUCCAUCUCCGUAAUAUACGUUUAGUUGUGAGAUGUUCACAGUUUUCCCCCAAAAACAGGCCUUCACGUGCGAAGUCAAAGUGGGUGGGGAACGUGUAUUUCGAGUCGCUGGAACUUCAUAAUGAAGCUGCUUUUGUGCAAUAUUCAGCGACGUUACCAGCUGUGUGUUAGACGAAACGAAAAUGCUUUGGUUUUGCAUCGUGUUUUGAGACUGUCAGGGUGACAUGAUGGAUUAAUUGCUGUUUGAGUGACAAUAAAUGAACAUGUUUGUGUUUGGAGAUUGCUGAGGUUAAUAUCUUUACAAUUGGGAAAUCCCAACAUAAGUUGACUGCCAGUUUGACCACUGAUCUGCAUAAUAUCAGUGGGAGAGCAUGCUGAAUCCCGCAGCUUCUGCACCAUAUGUUUCCUGGCCGAGUGGUUGAAAGUUGCGACCACACAUUCCAUGGGUGAUGAUAUCUACCAAAAUUCUUGGCGGCACAGUUCUACCCUCGUCAGUUGCACUUGUCCGAGUCUUUCUCUGCCUCUCAACCAACUCGAGAUAUUCCCCCCUCCCCAACUGCAUCCCGGCACAGCUUCACAUCAACCCAUCUAAUUAAUUUGUCGGAAAGGUUGACCACACAAAUUUCCUGUUUGGUUGUGGAGAUAGAAUCAUUUUUUUUGUGAAAGUUUGAUUUCAGACACUUAAAAAUUGAAAUUGUCAUGUAUUAUUAGGCAUGACAGGCAUUCGCAAAGCAUCUCAAUCAAGUAUUUAUUAUUUUACUUUGUCAAUGAUAAUUCAUUUUGUAUGCUAUUCACCUGUUUGCCUUGCUUUU